CCUACGGGAGGCAGCAGUGGGGAAUAUUGGGCAAUGGAGGCAACUCUGACCCAGCAACGCCGCGUAAAUGAUGAAGGUCCUCGGAUUGUAAAGUCCUGUGUUGCGGGAUGCACACAAUGACGGUACUCCAAUAGUAAGCCUCGGCUAACUACGUGCCAGCAGUCGCGUGAAUACGGAGGCGGCAAUCGUUCUCCGGAAUGACUGGGCGUCAAGGGUGCGUAGGUGGUUUAGUAAGUCGGCGGUGUAAUUCCGGGGCUCAACCUCGGCGCUACCGCCAAAACUAGUAGACUAGAGUGCGGGAGAAGUAAGUGGAAUGCGUGGUGUAGCGGUGGAAUGCAUAGAUAUUGGGAAGAACAUCGAGGGCGAAGGCGACAUACUGG
rnacentral:rRNA from 1 species